UCCUACGGGGGGCAGCAGUGAGGAAUAUUGGUCAAUGGGCGGGAGCCUGAACCAGCCAAGUCGCGUGAGGGAAGACGGUCCUAUGGAUUGUAAACCUCUUUAGGCGGGGAGCAAUGCCGGGCACGCGUGCCCGGAGGGAGAGUACCCGCAGAAUAAGCAUCGGCUAACUCCGUGCCAGCAGCCGCGGUAAUACGGAGGAUGCGAGCGUUAUCCGGAUUUAUUGGGUUUAAAGGGUGCGCAGGCGGCGAGUUAAGUCAGCGGUAAAAUUUCGGGGCUCAACCCCGACGAGCCGUUGAAACUGGCUU
rnacentral:rRNA from 1 species